CCUCACGCCCCAUCAGGAACUGGUACGUUCCUUUCAGAGAGCUGCUCACAAGGCUGUCUGUGGCAAAUGCCAGAAUGCAAGGAGACAACAAACUUGGAGGCCAAGACAUGCCAGCGUAAAGGUGCAAGAGGUGCUGUGGUCUGAGCCAGACCAUCACCGGAUACAGGGGUGCUUCACAUGUCUGUCUGAUCGUCUCACAGUAAACCUGCCUCGGGUCUCUGGCCAAGGUGCGCUCUCACCCCAGCUGUGCUUCUCCGGAUGAGCCAGCCCUAAGGAGCUGUCAAUGAGUCCCAAGUCCAGCCAAGAAUCGCAGUAAAACAGCAAAAAGGGCAACACUGUCUGCUGUAGCCGAAAGCUCAAUGUGCAACAGGAGUCUGGGGCUAUAAGAUAACUAUGAAUAUAAAUCUUUCGAAAAUCUCACAAUUUGGAGGGAAAACAAGCAUAAAACUUAGAGAUUUAAGGUUAUUUGAGGUUAAGCAAUCCCAAAAAUGCAUAAAAUAUUUCAGCGCUCGGUGUAUAAAAUGUUCACUCUUUUUUGCUUCCCUCACAUAAAAUGUUAGGGAUAUUGACAUUCCUGCGUUGGUCUCACACCCCAGCCUUAAACACUAAGGGCCAACUGGACCCUGCACGAGGCAGUAAGCCCUGCCCCCCUUACAGCUCCGCUGAGUCUCAUGCCUCCUUCCCGCUGUAAAAGCCUGUAAUCAGGGUGGUUUGGACAGCCAUUCUGAAGGAAACCUGCCUUUUCAUAGCCAGGGGUUUUCAAACCUAGCAUCUCGGAGCCAUAAACUACAUACAUUCACCUCAUUUUACUAACUUAGGCUGCAAAGUUUGGACAGAAUACACAUACACGUGUCUCUGGGCCAAGGACUGCAGAGUUCUGUACGUAAAAGACUCUCUAAUCAGGGAGAUCUUAAAAUCUCUGUUCUGACUGUCUGUCAUCCUGUUGUGUGGGGGUUUUUUGUGUCCCCUUCUCUUCCUGGUGCUGGUAGCCUACAUUAGUGUGAUUGUAGCGCUGUGUAGCCCGUCGGUGCGCAGCGCCUGGUCUCUCUCCCAGCGAUCGGAGCGCCUGGUCUCUCUCCCAGCGAUCGGAGCGCUCGCCGCAACCUGCUCCACCGCUAUUUGCGGACUGGGCUUCACCACAAUGCUCCUGUCUCUGGAGCGUUCCAAUUUUUAAAAUGACCUUUAAAUGCCGUGGAAUAUUCACAGACCCCAAAUAAUCCAGAAGGACGGCACCCUGAACCACCCGCUAAAGUAAACCAAAAAUGCAUGCGCUGGUCGUAACCAUAUCGGGGUCCGCAUUUCUGACAUAGCUGCGUCGUGCCAGACGAGCACGGCCGAAACGGAAAGCAAAACGUGCAGAGCGGAGGACAAGGGAGUCCGCGGCUAACAGGAGAUUAAAUAUGUAUGAGCGCAGUCCAGCUCUGUCCCAUGUGACCUUGUGGCUGACUGUGAGUCAUUUCUGCCCCACAGAGUGUUCACGGGGGCGGAGGGGGGGGUAUGGGGGUUGCCGGUAUAGUUCUUUUACACAAUAAAAAGAGUAAGACACCAACAUGCAGUGCAAAUUCAGCGUAAAUCCUUAAUUUUGCUCUCCAUCCUUGCUACUGACAUGUGUCCGGAAAAAAGAACAAUCCAGCGCAUUCCAGGUUCAAGUGGGUGGUGGAAUUUUGCCAAAAAAACAACUUCUACUGAAACAUAGUAGGAGCCUUUUUUAUUUAAAGAGCAUGAUUUCUAUCCGCGAAGUCCACCAAUAUCUAUGAAUCCUUCUCAUAUAUCCAGAGUUUGACACAAGUCUUGACUGCAAUAUUAUUGUGCAGGAUAGAAUUUUGAAUAGCACUGAAGACUAUAUCUGUACCGUUUUCCUGCAAAUCACCUCUGCCCUUCCUGAAUUACUAAUAAGACAGAGAUUAUUGGCUUUGUGUUUUCUUAUCCAGAAUAACUCAAAUGUAGUGUCAACACUUGGGUGUUUAUCCGGUGAAGCAUUGUUUUAGGAGUUGGCAGGUUAAGGACCUGGUUCACUUGUGAACGUAUGCAGUGACUUUCUGAUGCAGGUUCAAAUCUACAACAAACACACCAACCACCAUCUCACAUGCUGUCUGAAUAAAGCUCACCCCAUUGGUAACCAGCUAGGUGCCUGAAUUAAUCCCUUAAGUGACAAAGUAACGACUUAAGUCAUUAGUAACCAGUUAACAGCUUAAGUACAGUGUGAGCAUCCGGUAUGCUUCAGUCGGCCAUGACAGCUAACAUACCCCCAAAGAACAUUUUCCAUCUUAAAAAUAUAUGUGUCACAUGAUCAUUUACAUGGGUAUGACGUUAAACAGUCCACACAUCCAUCUGAUUUGCACAGCCGCUGACCUGGUCAGGAUGGUGGAUACAAUCUGAGUGGGGGCAGCACGCUUUACCAUAAACCCAAAAAACAUUUCCCAGUAAACUGCAAUCUAUAGUAUUAAUUCUGCCCCGGUUCCUGCUUAAUCACAUCAAUUAAAAACAAUUAGCAUUUCAGCUUUACAAUUUAGCCUGAACAUUUGCACUAUUUGCGACCAUAAUCGCAAAUCUGUUCAUUUCCCCAAACGAUAACGCAACGUCUUAAAUCCAGCUUUAAUGAGUCAAAAUUAAUCUUUUGUGUUUAUCGUCAUUAAGUGCAUAAAUGUUCACACACCAUGCAACUGCCGAGAGCAACCUUCUAAUCGACCGAGAUGAAAUAAAAGUCAUCCUCGUUUUAUGAUGCUGCAUCGUAGGCAUGCGACGGGAUGCAAAAUAUUUAUGCCAUAUGGAUCACACAGGCCAAUGUGCGUCGUAAAGGAAGCCUAGCCAGAAUUUAUACAUUUGAAAUAAAGGCAAUCUAGUUAAAACUGUGAACCUUGCAGCCGCAGUAGGCUGUUAAAAGAAUAACCAAACGCCAGUGCAUUAAAUGCGCCAAUGCUGAACGUACGUCGCAUGGAGGUUGCUUUAUCAAUUUCUCUGAAAGCCCAUUUAGUAAUGGCCGGACUAAUAAGCUCUGACCCCAUUACCUCCCCGUCUCUCACCCAUCCCUCUCCACACUAGUGGCAUAUGGCCAGGCAGUUUCGAGGUGGGGAACAGCUGAAACAGGGUGGUGGUGAUGAUAGUGAAUGGAUAGGGUUGGGGGGGGUCUUACUUCCCUCUUUGCUUUUCACUUCCUUGUCAGAUCAUGACUCAAUAAUCUCCGCAAAUCAUCUCCCACUCUUACCACUAGCCCUGGCGUGCCGCGGUGUCCAAUUAGCCAUCUGCCGUGCUCCCGGGGCCCCCGCACAGACGGAGAGCACACUCCCGCCCACCGGCGGGGGAGUGGGAGGGCUGUGGGCACUACCAUUGUUUGGCAGGAGGGGUGUGUGUGUGUGUGUGUGUGUGGAGGGGGGAGCUUUGGUUUGGGGGAGCCCCCAUUGUUUCACUUUGGCAUCCACGGCGCAUGGAGUAGCCUCUGUGUUAUCUCCCUGCCAGA